rfam:Loxodonta africana unplaced genomic scaffold scaffold_65, whole genome shotgun sequence.
GGAUGAGGGGGAAUUUACCAGCGUCAUCUCUCACCGUACCAGUCACCAGAGUCAACUUAGUGGCUAUGUCUUCCUGUUCAUCUUGUGCAUCUCUCUCAAAGCUGCUCUGCCAGGUGAAAGAGACAGUCUUGCCAGACAGAGAAGGAUCAUUUUGUGGCCAGAAGUUUACAAGUAGUUUCACUUCUCGGUAAGAGCCUCUAAAGACACUCUCAAGGUUAUUAUUAGCAGUUUGUCCAAAGUUGUAUGAUUCCAGGUGCCUUUAGAUUUGAGGAGUUUAUGAUGACAUCCCUGUUUUCU